UACGGGGGGGGCAAGCGUUGUUCGGAAUUACUGGGCGUAAAGGGCGCGUAGGCGGACAGUUAAGUCAGAGGUGAAAGCCCAGGGCUCAACCCUGGAAUUGCCUUUGAUACUGGCUGUCUUGAGUACGGGAGAGGUGAGUGGAAUUCCCAGUGUAGCGGUGAAAUGCGUAGAUAUUGGGAGGAACACCAGUGGCGAAGGCGGCUCACUGGACCGGUACUGACGCUGAGGCGCGAAAGCGUGGGGAGCAAACAGG
rnacentral:rRNA from 1 species